GGGGAAUAUUGGACAAUGGGGGCAACCCUGAUCCAGCAAUGCCGCGUGUGUGAAGAAGGCCUGAGGGUUGUAAAGCACUAUCAGUGGGGAGGAGGAUUGAUUGGUUAAGAGCUGAUUGAUUGGACGUUACCCACAGAAGAAGCACCGGCUAACUCCGUGCCAGCAGCCGCGGUAAUACGGAGGGUGCGAGCGUUAAUCGGAAUUACUGGGCGUAAAGGGUGCGUAGGUUGUUGAAUAAGUUAUCUGUGAAAUUCCUGGGCUUAACCUGGGCAUGUCAGAUGAUACUGUUUGACUCGAGUAUGGGAGAGGGCAGUGGAAUUUCCGGUGUAGCGGUGAAAUGCGUAGAGAUCGGAAGGAACACCAGUGGCGAAGGCGACUGCCUGGCCUGUUACUGACACUGAGGCACGAAAGCGUGGGGAGCAAAC
rnacentral:rRNA from 1 species